rnacentral:rRNA from 1 species
UGACUGCGUACCUUUUGUAUAAUGGGUCAGCGACUUAUAUUCUGUAGCAAGGUUAACCGAAUAGGGGAGCCGGAGGGAAACCGAGUCUUAAUUGGGCGUUAAGUUGCAGGGUAUAGACCCGAAACCCGGUGAUCUAGCCAUGGGCAGGUUGAAGGUUGGGUAACACUAACUGGAGGACCGAACCGACUAAUGUUGAAAAAUUAGCGGAUGACCUGUGGCUGGGGGUGAAAGGCCAAUCAAACCGGGAGAUAGCUGGUUCUCCCCGAAAGCUAUUUAGGUAGCGCCUCGUGAAUUCAUCUCCGGGGGUAGAGCACUGUUUCGGCUAGGGGGCCAUCCCGGCUUACCAACCCGAUGCAAACUGCGAAUACCGGAGAAUGUUAUCACGGGAGACACACGGCGGGUGCUAACGUCCGUCGUGAAGAGGGAAACAACCCAGACCGCCAGCUAAGGUCCCAAAGUCAUGGUUAAGUGGGAAACGAUGUGGGAAGGCCCAGACAGCCAGGAUGUUGGCUUAGAAGCAGCCAUCAUUUAAAGAAAGCGUAAUAGCUCACUGGUCGAGUCGGCCUGCGCGGAAGAUGUAACGGGGCUAAACCAUGCACCGAAGCUGCGGCAGCGACGCUGAUGCGUUGUUGGGUAGGGGAGCGUUCUGUAAGCCUGUGAAGGUGGCCUGUGAGGGUUGCUGGAGGUAUCAGAAGUGCGAAUGCUGACAUAAGUAACGAUAAAGCGGGUGAAAAGCCCGCUCGCCGGAAGACCAAGGGUUCCUGUCCAACGUUAAUCGGGGCAGGGUGAGUCGACCCCUAAGGCGAGGCCGAAAGGCGUAGUCGAUGGGAAACGGGUUAAUAUUCCCGUACUUGGUGUUACUGCGAAGGGGGGACGGAGAAGGCUAUGUUGGCCGGGCGACGGUUGUCCCGGUUUAAGCGUGUAGGUGUGUGUUCCAGGUAAAUCCGGUUCACUUUAACACUGAGGCGUGAUGACGAGGCACUACGGUGCUGAAGCAACAAAUGCCCUGCUUCCAGGAAAAGCCUCUAAGCAUCAGGUAACAUCAAAUCGUACCCCAAACCGACACAGGUGGUCAGGUAGAGAAUACCAAGGCGCUUGAGAGAACUCGGGUGAAGGAACUAGGCAAAAUGGUGCCGUAACUUCGGGAGAAGGCACGCUGACACGUAGGUGAAGUGAUUUACUCAUGGAGCUGAAGUCAGUCGAAGAUACCAGCUGGCUGCAACUGUUUAUUAAAAACACAGCACUGUGCAAACACGAAAGUGGACGUAUACGGUGUGACGCCUGCCCGGUGCCGGAAGGUUAAUUGAUGGGGUCAGCGCAAGCGAAGCUCCUGAUCGAAGCCCCGGUAAACGGCGGCCGUAACUAUAACGGUCCUAAGGUAGCGAAAUUCCUUGUCGGGUAAGUUCCGACCUGCACGAAUGGCGUAAUGAUGGCCAGGCUGUCUCCACCCGAGACUCAGUGAAAUUGAACUCGCUGUGAAGAUGCAGUGUACCCGCGGCAAGACGGAAAGACCCCGUGAACCUUUACUAUAGCUUGACACUGAACAUUGAGCCUUGAUGUGUAGGAUAGGUGGGAGGCUUUGAAGUGUGGACGCCAGUCUGCAUGGAGCCGACCUUGAAAUACCACCCUUUAAUGUUUGAUGUUCUAACGUGGACCCGUGAUCCGGGUUGCGGACAGUGUCUGGUGGGUAGUUUGACUGGGGCGGUCUCCUCCUAAAGAGUAACGGAGGAGCACGAAGGUUGGCUAAUCCUGGUCGGACAUCAGGAGGUUAGUGCAAUGGCAUAAGCCAGCUUGACUGCGAGCGUGACGGCGCGAGCAGGUGCGAAAGCAGGUCAUAGUGAUCCGGUGGUUCUGAAUGGAAGGGCCAUCGCUCAACGGAUAAAAGGUACUCCGGGGAUAACAGGCUGAUACCGCCCAAGAGUUCAUAUCGACGGCGGUGUUUGGCACCUCGAUGUCGGCUCAUCACAUCCUGGGGCUGAAGUAGGUCCCAAGGGUAUGGCUGUUCGCCAUUUAAAGUGGUACGCGAGCUGGGUUUAGAACGUCGUGAGACAGUUCGGUCCCUAUCUGCCGUGGGCGCUGGAGAACUGAGGGGGGCUGCUCCUAGUACGAGAGGACCGGAGUGGACGCAUCACUGGUGUUCGGGUUGUCAUGCCAAUGGCACUGCCCGGUAGCUAAAUGCGGAAGAGAUAAGUGCUGAAAGCAUCUAAGCACGAAACUUGCCCCGAGAUGAGUUCU